rnacentral:sRNA from 1 species
AGUCUACCAGACCCACCACUCUGAAUGUAGUGCACACUUAAGAAUUUAUAUGGAUCAGCGUUGAGGCUGAGACAUGUUCUUUUAUAACUUGUGACGUAGCGAGCGUUUGAGAUAUCUAUCUAAACGUGUCGUUGAGGCUAAGGCGGGGACUUCGAGUCCCUAAAUAAUUGAGUCGUAUGUUCGCGUUGGUGGCUUUGUACCCCACACAACACGUACAUGUAACUCCGAGGCAACUUGGGGUUAUAUGGUCAAGCGAAUAAGCGCACACGGUGGAUGCCUAGGCGGUCAGAGGCGAUGAAGGACGUGGUAGCCUGCGAAAAGUGUCGGGGAGCUGGCAACAAGCUUUGAUCCGGCAAUAUCCGAAUGGGGAAACCCACUGCUUCGGCAGUAUCCUGCAGUGAAUUCAUAGCUGCUGGAAGCGAACCCGGUGAACUGAAAUAUCUAAGUAACCGGAGGAAAAGAAAUCAACCGAGAUUCCCUAAGUAGUGACGAGCGAACGGGGAGCAGCCCUUAAGCUGGAAUGGCUUUAGAAAAACAAUCUGGAAAGAUUGGCCAUAGAAGGUGAUAGCCCUGUAUUUAAAAGGGCCACUCCAGUGAAGACGAGUAGGGCGGGGCACGUGAAACCCUGUCUGAAUAUGGGGGGACCAUCCUCCAAGGCUAAAUACUCCUGACCGACCGAUAGUGAACCAGUACC